rnacentral:rRNA from 1 species
AACGAACGCUGGCGGCAUGCCUAACACAUGCAAGUCGAACGAGACCUUCGGGUCUAGUGGCGCACGGGUGCGUAACGUGUGGGAACCUGCCCUUAGGUUCGGAAUAACUCCCCGAAAGGGGUGCUAAUACCGGAUAAUGUCUUCGGACCAAAGAUUUAUCGCCUUUGGAUGGGCCCGCGUUGGAUUAGCUAGUUGGUAGGGUAAAAGCCUACCAAGGCGACGAUCCAUAGCUGGUCUGAGAGGAUGAUCAGCCACACUGGGACUGAGACACGGCCCAGACUCCUACGGGAGGCAGCAGCGGGGAAUAUUGGACAAUGGGCGAAAGCCUGAUCCAGCAAUGCCGCGUGAGUGAUGAAGGCCUUAGGGUUGUAAAGCUCUUUUACCCGGGAUGAUAAUGACAGUACCGGGAGAAUAAGCUCCGGCUAACUCCGUG